AUUACUCUUCCCUUUUGUGGCUCUAUUCUCUUCCCUAAAACCUUAUAUAAUCAAAAAAACCAAUACUUGAAGAAUGGAUAAAACGUACAAGUUACGAUUUUCCUUUGCUCUCCGUAAACAACAAAAUCCUAACAUCUGUUGUUGAUGACAUGUAUCAGCAAUAAUGGAGGAAAUCAGAACGAAAGCCAAACAUAAUUAAUAAAGGGCAUAUCUAAGAUAGAUGGAGAAUGAAAUUUCUUUUGAAAGAAAGGAGAAUCAUAAAUGCAGACGUCGGAAAACGGAAAUUCUUCAUUUGUUACUGAUGAUAACGAAGGAGUACAUAAUAUGAUGACCAAGGCGAUAAUAUAUAGAAGUAAGGGGAACAUUUACUGUGAUGAUAAUUACAUUAAUAAUGAUGCUUAAGAUAUAAGUGUAUUUGCUAGA